rnacentral:sRNA from 1 species
GGUACAUGAGCAUGAAAAAAGGCUGUCUGAAUAUAAAGGUCAUAGUUUUUUUGAGCUGAUGU